rfam:Dehalobacter sp. CF, complete genome.
GGGCUUGUAGCUCAGCUGGUUAGAGCGCACGCCUGAUAAGCGUGAGGUCGGUGGUUCGAGUCCACCCAGGCCCA